GCCUGGCCCUAAAUAUUGGUGCUUCAUCUUACCUGAGCAUCCGCCCGAGAACUACGAGCGCAAACGCUUAAAACUCUAAGGACUUGGCGGUGCCCCAAAUCCACCUAGAGGAGCCUGUUCUGUAAUCGAUGAUCCACGAUAUACCCGACCAUUCCUUGCAACAACAGCCUACAUACCGCCGUCGCCAGCUCACCCUGUAUGAAGGCCCAACAGUGAGCGCAAUAGUACUUACCACGCUAAAAAGACAGGUCAAGGGA
rnacentral:rRNA from 1 species